rnacentral:lncRNA from 12 species
GGUCAUCCUAGACAUUCCAAAUCUCCACUUGUGGUUGCCAGUGUCCAUAGUGGUAAGAGAGAAUGCCUAUCAGUGUGCUUGCCAAAGAAGAUGAGGUUUAGUGGAAUGAGGAUUCUUUACCACUGAUAAAUAGGCUCUGACUCCUAGCUACUUGUUCAGUGGGCCCAAGAUACAGAUGUCUUAUAUCUUCCUUCUUUUGUACUAUUUUGCCUUCAGCUGGAUGACCUGUACCCUUGACACUCUGCCCUUGUCCCCUCUGAAAAUCAUAACUUCAUCUACGGGACAGGCCUUUAUGUUUUGUGAUUGUUCCAAGUCCUCCAGAAGCUGGGGAAACCCAGGGGGAAGAGCUUACAGACUGCUUAGACUGCUUUGCAUCAGAGUUCCAGUUGCUUUGUAUUGA